AAUCCAAUCAAGCCUGGCUUGGUAUUGGGCGUCGGGGGUCUCCCGCGCCCCAAUUUCACCGGCUGGCCGUCGCCCGUCUUAGCGUUGUGAUAUAUUUCUCGCUGGCGAUGGGGGCGGUUCACGCCGUUAAAACUCAUGAAUUUCAAUCGAAAUUCGAUUA
rnacentral:misc_RNA from 1 species